rnacentral:rRNA from 1 species
GUAGGUGGCGAGCGUUGUCCGGAAUUAUUGGGCGUAAAGAGCAUGUAGGCGGCUUAAUAAGUCGAGCGUGAAAAUGCGGGGCUCAACCCCGUAUGGCGCUGGAAACUGUUAGGCUUGAGUGCAGGAGAGGAAAGGGGAAUUCCCAGUGUAGCGGUGAAAUGCGUAGAUAUUGGGAGGAACACCAGUGGCGAAGGCGCCUUUCUGGACUGUGUCUGACGCUGAGAUGCGAAAGCCAGGGUAGCGAACGGGAUUAGAUACCCCGGUAGUCCUGGCCGUAAACGAUGGGUACUAGGUGUAGGAGGUAUCGACCCCUUCUGUGCCGGAGUUAACGCAAUAAGUACCCCGCCUGGGGAGUACGGCCGCAAGGUUG